rnacentral:rRNA from 1 species
GAUGAACGCUGGCGGCGUGCUUAACACAUGCAAGUCGAACGGGAAACCUUUUAUUGAAGCUUCGGCAGAUUUAGCUGGUUUCUAGUGGCGGACGGGUGAGUAACGCGUGGGUAACCUGCCUUAUACAGGGGGAUAACAACCAGAAAUGGUUGCUAAUACCGCAUAAGCGCACAGGACCGCAUGGUCCGGUGUGAAAAACUCCGGUGGUAUAAGAUGGACCCGCGUUGGAUUAGCUAGUUGGCAGGGUAACGGCCUACCAAGGCGACGAUCCAUAGCCGGCAUGGGAGGGUGACCGGCGACAUUGGGACUGCGACACGGCCCAGUGUCCUAGGGGGGGCAGCAGUGGGGAAUAUUGCACAAUGGAGGAAACCCUGAUGAAGCGACGCCGCGUGAAGGAAGAAGUAUCUCGGUAUGUAAACUUCUAUCAGCAGGGAAGAUAGUGACGGUACCUGACUAAGAAGCCCCGGCUAACUACGUG